AAAAAAAAUAUUGGGAUAUUCGAGUUUCUCUAUAUUUGAUGCAAAACCCUGUGGUUUUGGUUUCUAUCGAUAGUGAAAACUAGAGGGAGAGAUGGAAAUAGAAAGACGUUCACCAAAACCCCCAAAAAUUAGGGCAAAAAUGCUCAGAUUGGGUGUUGUUAUUUGAGGGUUUUGGUUUUAAUCGAUGGUGAAAACCAGAGGGACAGAUGGAAAUGGAAAGACGUUCACCAAAACAAAAAAUGCUCAGAUUGGGUGUUGUUAUUUGGGGGUUUUGGUUUUUAUCGAUGGGAAAAUCCAGAGGGAGAGAUGGAAAUGGAAAACGAGAGAGAGAGAGAGUUAGCAUACCUUGAGUGGGAUUCUGAGUGAGAUCCGCGGGUUUGAGCAAAUACGUAUGGAGAGAGCUUGUUGAGGCAGGGAUCAACUUCUCUGUUGAGGAGACAGAAUACCCUGAGAGCAAAUACACAGGGAGAGAGCUUGUUGAGGCAGAGACUAUGCGCCGAGAGCACGAGAGGAGAGAGACUUUGCGCAAAGAGUGUGAGAGGAGAGAGAAUACGCUCUCUAUUUUCCUUUGCAAGUGUCUGUUUUCCUCUGAGUGUCAGUACCCGCGGGAAUAAAAAACAAAUUAACUUUCAAACACGCUCCCCGCGGGGUGGCAUUGUGGCCGUCCAAACAAGCAACUUAAAUCAAUGCCGUUGGGCGCACCUCAAUGCCAUAAAUAGCGGAAGGAGAAUCAAUAAAAUUCAU
rnacentral:lncRNA from 1 species